UGAGUAACACGUGGGCAACCUGCCCUUUGCACUGGGAUAGCCUCGGGAAACCGAGGUUAAUACCGGAUACUCCAUAUUUGUCGCAUGGCGAAUAUGGGAAAAGCUCCGGCGGCAAAGGAUGGGCCCGCGGCCUGUUAGCUAGUUGGUGGGGUAGUGGCCUACCAAGGCAAUGAUGGGUAGCCGGGUUGAGAGACCGACCGGCCAGAUUGGGACUGAGACACGGCCCAGACUCCUACGGGAGGCAGCAGCC
rnacentral:rRNA from 1 species